rnacentral:rRNA from 1 species
AGGAUAAACGCUGGCGGCGUGCCUAACACAUGCAAGUCGAACGUCUCUUCUUUCGGGAAGAGGAGUGGCGGACGGGUGAGGAACACGUGGGAACCUGCCCUUCAGUGAGGAAUACCGGCGAGAAAUCGCCGACAAGACCGCAUAGCCCUCUCUGGUGAGAGCCAGAGAAGGAAAGCCUCGCAAGAGGCGCUGGAGGAGGGGCCUGCGUCCGAUUAGCUAGUUGGGGGGGUAAUGGCCUCCCAAGGCGACGAUCGGUAGCUGGUCUGAGAGGACGAUCAGCCACACUGGGAUUGAGAACGGCCCAGACUCCUACGGGGGGCAGCAGUGAGGAAUUUUCCGCAAUGGACGAAAGUCUGACGGAGCAACGCCGCGUGCAGGAGGAAGGUUUUCGGAUCGUAAACUGCUUUUCUCGGGGACGAGCAAGGACGGUACCCGAGGAAGAAGCCCCGGCUAACUACGCGCCAGCAGCCGC